rnacentral:lncRNA from 1 species
CACCCACCCCGAGUCUGCACAUCCACAGAUCCACAGCACCGCUAAAACAGAUAGAUGAGCAAACCGAUGCAGGCUCUCAUGGAGACUCUUGCAGGGAGUGACUCACUUCGUAGGUGACUAACACUUCAAAAGAUUCCAGGUUUCCAGCUUUGUAGUAGGCGCUCGCAAUUUGACAGAAGCCCAUAGCAGGGAAUACGCGCUCUUCCUGGAGUCUUCAGGCAGAUAAGCACUCGGUCCCUUGUACUCUAGAACCGACCGGGAUUAUUUUCCAGUCACACAUCAAUGAGGGGGGUUCCUCCCAAGGGGUGACAUUCCCUCUGCCUGUCUUGACUGUUAUCUGAGAAACCGGCUGACCUGCAGUUGGAGGAGGGGGCUGACUCCCUUACUCAGUGCUGGAAUCCAGCAGCUGCUUCCUCCUGUCACCUACCGAGCAGCCUCCAAUAGAGAUCCCCAAUGACCCACUGUUUCCGUGAGGCAUUCAUGCUGCCAAGAAUCUGCAAGGCUCUCUGUGGUUCUCUAAUCGUCUCUGAUGAAUGGGAAAAGCGCAAACUGGACUGUUUCAGCUGCUCCGGCCCACUCGACCCUGUCUGCUGCUCUGUUCUGGGCUCUGUUCUUCCAGGCUUGUAACCAGCUGUCUUCCAGCCCUGGUGCUUGGGCUUGAACCUAAGGCCUUUGUGUGCUAGACAGUCCCACCAAUACUGCUGGUCGGCUUCCUACUUAGACCAUCAAAAAGCCUGCAGGAAAGGGCUCACUGAUGAGUGGCCAGAGGAAGACAAGACACAAUAAACACUUCCACUACUGCUGAAAUAGCAACGCAAGCUCUUUGCAAGAAGAGGUCACCUUUCUUUUGUGGCUGUCCCAUCACAGCUGGCCUUACAUGUGCUUGAGACAUUAAUAGAAAAAGGCAGACAGCUUCCGUAGAGACGGAGCGGGGUGGGGAGGGAGAGGGCAGGACUGUAGGAAGGUCAAACUUUGCAAAGGAAACUCUUCACUGCCGACAAAGGCGGCUUGAUCAUCUUCUUACAGCAAGUUGAGAGUCAGGACAGUGGGGAGAGUAAAGAGGAACAAACCCAGAGACAGUCCCAGUGCCUGCUGCAGAGACAGAGGAAGAGCAGGUCUGCAUGAGACCUUGGCUGCUACUUCCUCCUGUUCUUCGUAGACACUGCUCAAAGAGGGUAAAUAGCCCUGGGACCAGGGGGUUUUGGAAUGUCAGUAUAAUUUCCAACGCUACCAUGGAUUAUUGUAACUGUAUUUGAAGUAAUGCGUUUGAAAUAAAGGGUUCAUUCUUUCAUUUAUUCUUAAAUGUUUACUGAGUAGUUGUUUAUAUGUACCAUAUGUCAGAUGCUGAGGGUGGAAGACUGGAGGAAAAGAGAUACUUCCAGGGUCGGAGAGCUUGCCUAGAACGUGCAAGGUCCUGGAUUCGAUCCCCAGCAGACAACCUCCCACCCAAACACACUUCCGAACGCCCACAAAGGAGGAAAAACAAAUAUAA